rnacentral:rRNA from 1 species
GAUGAACGCUGGCGGCGUGCCUAAUACAUGCAAGUCGAGCGAACAGAUGAGGAGCUUGCUGCUCUGACGUUAGCGGCGGACGGGUGAGUAACACGUGUAUCCCCUCCCUAUCAGACUGGGAUAACUUCGGGACACCGGCGCUAAUACCGGAUGAUCUAUUGCACCGCAUGGUUCAAUAGUAAGAGACGGUUUUUCUGUCACUUCUAGAUGGAUCCGCGCCGCUUUAGCUAGUUGUUAAGGUAAAGGCUUACCAAGGGAACGAUGCGUGGCCGAACUCAGAGGGGGGUAGGCCGCACUGGAGCUGGGACGCCGUCCUUGCGCCUACGGGAGGCACCAGUAGGCAAUCGUCCGCAGUGGUCGAGAGCCUUACGGAGUAGGGGCGCGCGAGUGAUGAAGGUGUUCGGAGCGUAAUACCCUGUUAUGAGUUAAGAACAAAUGUGUAAGUAACUAUGCACGUCUUGACGGUACCGAAUCAGAAAGCCCCGGCUAACUACGUG